AGGAGAUAUAACUGGAUUUUGCAAUUCUAGAUCCCUCAAAAGCAAAGACUCUCAGAAGGACCAGAAGAAAGGACUAAAAAUUCUUGGACAACCCUGAAACCCAUGGAGUGGCAGAGAUGAGGAACCUCUUUGGAACAAGCAGGCCGCAAUGAUCUUAACACAAUUCCGGGUCAUCUCACAGUCAACUUCUCCAAAUAACAGUGAAAGAAAGUGAGGCCAAACACUGAGGUUGCGGGGAGUGAAGACUUAGAAGAGUGAGGACAAAUAUUUGGAGGCUUUAGAACAUAGCAUGCAGCUGUCAUCGGGAAGAGUCGGGGAAUGAAAGAACUAGGAAGACACAAUCAAAACCUCCAGAAACCACCACUGGUUGUACCUUCAAAUCGUAUUGCAAACCCAGCUACUUCUUACCAGUUCUCCACUAACACAACCAUCAGGACCCAAUCGGAGAUAAUCUACUAGGGUAGAGAACAGACUCACAAAACAAACAUAGCAGCCUUGGUGGAGUUUUGUAAAGCCCAAGUUUGUGGUCCUGGUUGGAGAAAGUGGCAUCCAUUCAGAAAUUCAACAAGGAUAUCCUAUAAAUGAGAGAGCCACAGAAAGUCUGGACAAGCAGUCUGCACGUCCCUCACCGUCUGAGAAACUGCAUGCAUGUGGAGAAGAUACUGGAAAAAGCCUAUAAAACAGGUGAAGGCAAGAGAGCCCUGAAAAUGGGCUGAAAUUUGAGUGUACUCCCAAAGUCACACAAAUUAAAUGGGCAGAGGGUACAGAAGCCUUAUGGGCUUAAGGUGUGUGAGCACAAUUUCUGUUUAGCUCACUGACUCAUCACUAGGUAUGCAGACACGGGGAAAUCCCUAAGGUCUAAGCAGAGAUAUCAAAAGCCAUAUACUGCAGUGAAGAUAGAUUUUGCAGUUUAUGUUCAGGUAGUUACUGA